AGGACGACGCUGGCGGUGUGCUUCACACAUGCAAGUCGAACGAGGUAGCAAUACCUAGUGGCGGACGGGUGAGUAACGCGUGGGAAUCUGCCUUUAGAUGGGGGAUAACGGGUCGAAAGACUCGCUAAUACCGCAUAUGACGAAAGUUGAAAGGAGUAAUCCGUCUAAAGAUGAGCCCGCGUCCGAUUAGCUAGUUGGUAGAGUAAAAGCCUACCAAGGCGACGAUCGGUAGCUGGUCUGAGAGGAUGAUCAGCCACAAUGGGACUGAGACACGGCCCAUACUCCUACGGGAGGCAGCAGUGGGGAAUUUUACGCAAUGGGCGAAAGCCUGACGUAGCGACACCGCGUGAGCGAAGAAGCCCCUUGGGGUGUAAAGCUCUGUCAGCUGGAACGAAAAAAAUGACGGUACCAGCAGAGGAAGCAUCGGCUAACUACGUG
rnacentral:rRNA from 1 species